rnacentral:rRNA from 1 species
CGCAACGAGCGCAACCCCUAUUGAUAGUUACCAUCAUUAAGUUGGGUACUCUAUUAAGACGGCCGCUGACAAGGCGGAGGAAGGUGGGGACGACGUCAAGUCAUCAUGGCACUUACGACCAGGGCUACACACGUGCUACAAUGGGUAUUACAGAGGGCUGCGAAGGUGCGUGCUGGAGCGAAACUCAAAAAGGUACUCUUAGUCCGGAUUGCAGUCUGCAACUCGACUGCAU